AUUGAACGCUGGCGGCAGGCUUAACACAUGCAAGUCGAGCGGAGAUGAGGUGCUUGCACCUUAUCUUAGCGGCGGACGGGUGAGUAAUGCUUAGGAAUCUGCCUAUUAGUGGGGGACAACAUUCCGAAAGGAAUGCUAAUACCGCAUACGUCCUACGGGAGAAAGCAGGGGAUCUUCGGACCUUGCGCUAAUAGAUGAGCCUAAGUCGGAUUAGCUAGUUGGUGGGGUAAAGGCCUACCAAGGCGACGACCUGUAUCGGGUCUGAGAGGAUGAUCCGCGCCACUGGGACUGAGACACGUACCAGACUCCGACGGGAGGCAGCAGUGGGGAAUAUUGGACAGUGGGGGGAAACCUGAUCCAGCCAUGCCGCGUGUGUGAAGAAGGCCUUAUGGUUGUAAAGCACUUUAAGCGAGGAGGAGGCUGCUGGGACUAAUACUCUUGGAUAGUGGACGUUACUCGCAGAAUAAGCACCGGCUAACUCUGUGCCAGCCGCCGCAGUAAUAC
rnacentral:rRNA from 1 species